AUUGAACGCUGGCGGAAUGCUUUACACAUGCACGUCGAACGGCAGCACGGACUUCGGUCUGGUGGCGAGUGGCGAACGGGUGAGUAAUGUAUCGGAACGUGCCCAGUCGUGGGGGAUAACGUAGUGUAAAUUACGCUAAUACCGCAUACGAUCGAUGGCUGACAGCGGGGGAUCGCAAGACCUCGCGCGAUCGGAGCGGCCGAUAUCAGAUUAGGUAGUUGGUGGGGUAAAGGCCCACCAAGCAAACGAUCUGUAGCUGGUCUGAGAGGACGACCAGCCACACUGGAACUGAGACACGGUCCAGACUCCUACGGGAGGCAGCAGUGGGGAAUUUUGGACAAUGGGCGAAAGCCUGAUCCAGCCAUUCCGCGUGCAGGAUGAAGGCCCUCGGGUUGUAAACUGCUUUUGUACAGAACGAAAAGGUUUCUACUAAUACUAGGAGCUCAUGACGGUACUGUAAGAAUAAGCACCGGCUAACUACGUGCCAGCCGCCGCUGUAA
rnacentral:rRNA from 1 species